CCUACGGGGGGCAGCAGUGGGGAAUAUUGCACAAUGGGCGCAAGCCUGAUGCAGCCAUGCCGCGUGUAUGAAGAAGGCCUUCGGGUUGUAAAGUACUUUCAGCGGGGAGGAAGGGAGUAAAGUUAAUACCUUUGCUCAUUGACGUUACCCGCAGAAGAAGCACCGGCUAACUCCGUGCCAGCAGCCGCGGUAAUACGGAGGGUGCAAGCGUUAAUCGGAAUUACUGGGCGUAAAGCGCACGCAGGCGGUUUGUUAAGUCAGAUGUGAAAUCCCCGGGCUCAACCUGGGAACUGCAUCUGAUACUG
rnacentral:rRNA from 1 species